rnacentral:rRNA from 1 species
AUUGAACGCUGGCGGCAGGCCUAACACAUGCACGUCGAAUGGUAACAGGAAGCAGCUUGCUGUUUCGCUGACGAGUGGCGGACGGGUGAGUAAUGUCUGGGAAACUGCCUGAUGGAGGGGGAUAACUACUGGAAACGGUAGCUAAUACCGCAUAACGUCGCAAGACCAAAGAGGGGGACCUUCGGGCCUCUUGCCAUCAGAUGUGCCCAGAUGGGAUUAGCUAGUAGGUGGGGUAACGGCUCACCUAGGCGACGAUCCCUAGCUGGUCUGAGAGGAUGACCAGCCACACUGGAACUGAGACACGGUCCAGACUCCUACGGGAGGCAGCAGUGGGGAAUAUUGCACAAUGGGCGCAAGCCUGAUGCAGCCAUGCCGCGUGUAUGAAGAAGGCCUUCGGGUUGUAAAGUACUUUCAGCGGGGAGGAAGGGAGUAAAGUUAAUACCUUUGCUCAUUGACGUUACCCGCAGAAGAAGCACCGGCUAACUCCGUG